rnacentral:rRNA from 1 species
AGUGGGGAAUCUUCCGCAAUGGACGAAAGUCUGACGGAGCAACGCCGCGUGAACGAUGAAGGCCUUCGGGUCGUAAAGUUCUGUCCUUUGGGAAGAAUACUUUAGUUACUAAUACUGGCUAGAGUUGACGGUACCUUUGGAGGAAGCUCUGGCUAACUACGUGCCAGCAGCCGCGGUAAUACGUAGAGAGCAAGCGUGGUCCGGAAUCAUUGGGCGUAAAGGGUACGCAGGCGGUCUAUUAAGUCAGAGGUGAAAUCCAACAGCUCAACUGUUGAACUGCCUUUGAUACUGGUAGACUUGAGGAUAAGAGAAGAAAACGGAAUUCCUAGUGUAGCGGUGAAAUGCGUAGAUAUUAGGAAGAAUACCGAUGGCGAAAGCAGUUUUCUAACUUAUUCCUGACUCUCAGGUACGAAAGCUAGGGUAGCAAACAGGAUUAGAUACCCUGGUAGUCCUAGCUGUAAACGAUGAUCACUGGGUGUGGGGGGUCGAACCCCUGUGCCGAAGUUAAUGCGAUAAGUGAUCCGCCUGGGGGGUACGUUCGCAAGAAUG